rnacentral:rRNA from 1 species
GAUCCUACGGGACGCAGCAGUGAGGAAUAUUGGUCAAUGGCCGCAGGGCUGAACCAGCCAAGUCGCGUGAGGGAUGACGGUCCUAUGGAUUGUAAACCUCUUUUGCCGGGGAGCAAGCCUGAGCACGUGUGCCCAGGCGGAGAGUACCCGGAGAAAAAGCAUCGGCUAACUCCGUGCCAGCAGCCGCGGUAAUACGGAGGAUGCGAGCGUUAUCCGGAUUUAUUGGGUUUAAAGGGUGCGCAGGCGGGCUGUUAAGCCGGCGGUAAAAAUUCAGGGCUCAACCCUGUCGAGCC